rnacentral:rRNA from 1 species
GACGAACGCUGGCGGCGGGCUUAACACAUGCAAGUCGAACGGAAAGGCCCUGCUUUUGUGGGGUUCUCGAGUGGCGAACGGGUGAGUAACACGUGAGUAACCUGCCCUUGACUUUCGGAUAACUUCAGGAAACUGGGGCUAAUACCGGAUAGGAGCUCCUGCUGCGUGGUGGGGGUUGGAAAGUUUCGGCGGUUGGGGAUGGACUCGCGGCUUAUCAGCUUGUUGGUGGGGGAGUGGCAUGCCAAGGCAUUGACGGGUAGCCGGCCGGAGAGGGUGACCGGCCACCUUGGGACUGAGAUACGGCCCAGACUCCAAUGGGAGGCAGCAGUGGGGAGUAUUGCACAAUGGGCGGGAGCCUGAUGAAGCAACGCCGCGUGCGGGAUGACGGCCUGCGGGUAGUAAACCGCAUUCGCCUGUGACGACGCGUGAGUGACGGUAAUGGGUAAAGAAGCACCGGCUAACUACGUG